rnacentral:rRNA from 1 species
UACGUAGGGUGCGAGCGUUGUCCGGAAUUAUUGGGCGUGAAGAGCUCGUAGGCGGCCUGUCGCGUCGGAUGUGAAAGCCCGGGGCUUAACCCCGGGUCUGCAUUCGAUACGGGCAGGCUAGAGUGUGGUAGGGGAGAUCGGAAUUCCUGGUGUAGCGGUGAAAUGCGCAGAUAUCAGGAGGAACACCGGUGGCGAAGGCGGGUCUCUGGGCCGAAAUUGACGCUGAGGAGCGAAAGCGUGGGGAGCAAACAGG